rnacentral:lncRNA from 1 species
GGGGUUGAGUGGGGUCCCCUCUCUCCUGUGCUGCUCUCCCUACGUGAAGAGCUUGUGCUCUGAAGUGUAGAAAAGCCAACACGUAGGCAGUGGUACGAAUGUGUGAGUUUUCCUACCCUUUAGAAUCUUUUAAUAACUCUUCUAAAUAGGUUUCUUAAAAAUAGGUGAUGGGGAGGUAUGUCCUUCCUUCCUCCUUCAGCCAGUCUUGAAUCUGCACACACAUUUAGAAGCUAUCCCAGGUCAGUGUCUGUCCCUGAGUGGGUCAGACACUAAAACCGGAGAGUUCCUGGUGUUUAAAACUUCUAAAUCUCCCAAUUGACUUCUUAAAAAAUAGCAUUUGAAUUUCUGCUAUAUGCAGUAACUCUGGGUGCUCCCUUUAGUCAGCUCUUAGAGCUACUCAUUUUUCCUCUAAGAAAGACGUGUUCCUAUUGCCUGAACAUUCACACCUUCCAAGAACAUCAGAAGCAGGAAAAGGUGGGGCCAGGGAGAGGUGCAGUGUUAAGUUACCAUUGUGCAAAUUACAUUGCGCAAAUCACUAGAACUAAGCUGGACUUUGUAGUGUUCCACGCUAAGUGAGAUUGGCAUACUCUUAUGAUCAGUGGAGGCAGAGUGGGUGUUUUAGCAGCCAGUAAGCACACCUGACUGAACAAGACAGACUUAGGCUUUGAAGUUAGAUGGAUACGGAUGUUCUGUCAGAACCGGGAAUGCUAGACGGGUGCAUGCUGUUCUGUAGAAAUGAAUCCUGUCUUGAAACUGGGUUUUGCUCCUUCUGCAGUCUAUCCAAAAUCAUUUUGGUACAGCCUGAAAAUCUGUUAUAUCAGAAUUGUCUGCAAAGUGAGAACAUGAUUAGUACUGGGUGGGCCUCACAUCCUCUUCUGACUUCUGGAACCAGGGCCCUCAGUGUUCUCUGCCUGUGGCUGUGUGGGGUGGUGCUCCACGCUCCAUGCCCUAGGCUCAGCCAUGCAGCCCCGGGAUCUGGGAGAUGCCAGUGUGUAAAGGAUGGGAACUGAAUGUCAAACAGCUUUUGGGCCCCUCCCUUUGCUGUGUCAGCUGUAAAUCAAGUAAUAAACAUGAAUAACUUCUUCAAGUUUCCUUUGUCUCACUGUGUUUUUGUCCCAACUUCUCUACACAGAUAACACUCUGGUCUUUCCUUUAUGUCAUUGUUUU